rnacentral:tRNA from 1 species
AGAAAUAUAUAAAGUUAAGCUUCUAACUUAAUAAAAAGCAUAGUAAAUGUUUAUAUUUC